UAGCUGGACAAGUGGGUCCCAUUUAUUACCACCCCCUCUGAAUCUUCUUCUCCUUCUACUUCUUCCUUUGUCCUAAAAAAAAAUCUUCUCUUUUUGUUCGAAUCAGGUUAAGUUCUGGAUCAUCAAUCAACACAGCCGUUUCUUUCUCCGGUAAUAAUUAGACUUUAUCUCUCUAAAUGGGUAACUGCUUCUCCGAAGAUGUCUCCUCGGGACCUGGUGCUACAGCCAGCGUUAGUGGAACUGCUUCCUCCUCCUCCGCUCUCGCCACUACAAACGACGCCGUUGAUUACUAUCUCAAGUCUCGUGGUUACAACGGUCUCUUCUCUCAGAUCGAGGUUCCCUUAUUCAUCACUUUAUCUCCUUUUUUUUUUUGGUAUCUGAGGGUUUAUGUUUUUGUUUGAUAAUGUUUUUUUUUUGUCUUUUUCUGGCGCCUAUUAAAACAUACCAUGUUUUUAAUAAAUUUUUGCAGUGGACCAGUUAUGAAGCUCUACCUUUGGGACCAAGCUGCAAAAGACUUUUACAAGAAAUUCACAUCCAGUGAAGACACUCCCACCGUUCUUUUGGUCACAACUGUGAACCCAAAAACUGUAGCAGGUAAUCAAUUUUCCCAUUACCAUAACCAACCAACUGCUAAUACAAACGUUUAAUGUUUUGCCAUGCUGUUUGUUAUCGGUUUCUACUGUUUCCUUAUUAGUUUGUUUAUAUGCGGUAACCUAUAUAUGCUGUUUGUUAGGGUUGAGACAAUGACAAUUGGGCAGAUCUUUGCUUACAUCAAGCAGGAAUAUGCCAAGGUAAAUACAACUUUAAGAUACCUCUGUCAAAAACAAAACAUAUUCAUGUCAUCACUAGCUUCAACCCUAUUGCAGGAAGCUUCUUUCAACUGCAUAGCCACAAUUGGUGAUGUUAAGCAUGACAGUCCAUGGUACUAUAUUUCUUGCGGUGGUUGUCACACUAAGGCCACCCGAGGUCCUUCUUCGUUGAUGUGCGCCAAGUGUGGCAACACUAACGUUUCUGGUGAAGCAAAGUAUUCAUUCUAACCUCGCAGCUUCCUGUUUCAUCUUUCUAGAAUUUGAUUUUUGUAUACGUUUAUUGUGACAGGUAUCGUGCAGAGAUCUCUGUCUAUGACAGUAAUGACCAGGCUGUUUUCGUCCUACUUGGUGAUGCAGGAAGUGAGUUGACAGGGAAGCAAGCAGCAGAAUUGGUUGCCAACUACUUUGAGGUACCUAGACAUCAACUCAAACCCCCUUCCAGUUCAUUGAAACUCACUUAGUUCCUCCUUUAAUUAUUUAGGCUAAUCAAGAACUUAGUGCUGGCCAUCAGAUGCCUGCCCCCCAAGCUUUAAUCGACACUAUUGGGCAUACACAUAAGUUCAGGGUCAAGGUGUCUAAACUCAACUUCACAGGCAAGGUUCAGUCUAUAACUGUUACUAGGAUUGUCUCAGCAGAGGAUCUGCCACCUGUGCCAAAUCCUACUGAAAUCCCACUUGCUGCGGAAGAUGAAGUAGCUUUGCCUACUGCAAGUGUCUUUGAUGGCUCUGGAUUCAAUGCUGAAGGUGGGACUGAAGGUACCAGUGACAUGGAUGAAUCACAGAAGGCUAAGCGUCCUAAACGCCAUGCAUGCUGAGUGGUCGUCUUCUUUAUUUUCAGCUUGAGUGUUUUUUCCCUUAUUUAAAACUUUGUUUUGGUUUAAUAUUUUUGCAAACAGUUUCAUUAUUUGUUUAGUCUUUGACUUCGUUUGAAUGUAUGAUGGUUUUCAGCUUUCAAAAGAAACAAAUGUUAUUUCAUAUUAUGACUCAUAUACUUUCCAUUAUAUACAUAACACAGACAUAUCUUGCUUACUAAUGUCAAUUCAAGUUAGAAUAAACAAAGCUAUAUAACAUUAAAGCAAUGUAAAAAAAAAACGACCGAGGAAAAAAAAACGAACACAUCCAAAUAGUCCACCGUCAUAUAUAACAUUAAAGCAAUGUAUUAUACUAUUUCCUAGACAGAAAGGAGUCUCAAGAGAGUAUCUAAACUCAGAUAGUUUUGAGAUAUCAGAUAGCAUAUGAGUUUUGAUCAUAUAAGAGCCAUAUUCUCUUAACUUUACCGUGUUUUAGCAACAAAAAAAACUAAAAUUUGGCCAAUGUAGGUGUACGUUAAGAGUAAGUGGCAAAUCCAUACUAUGUGAAAAUUACAUGUUCUGCCAAUGGUAUAAGCAAAAUAUAAAUCAUAUUUUUUUAAAAAUAUAAAUCAUUCUUUUGCAUAUUAGAUUGUUCAUCAUGUUUUGUAAACCGUAAACAACUAUGUUUUUCUAUCGAUUCUAAUACAUUCCUCUUAAUGAUAUUGAAGUACAAUAGUUUACUUAAGUAUGUGAUUAUAAUAUGUUUAAUAAUAUUUGCUUGGUUUAGGUUCCAUUAGAAAUUUAAUUUGACAAAACAAAAUCCACUUUUCUAUUUUUGAAAUCCAAACCAUGUAACGGGCCGGCCCACGGGCUAAACUCUAUUUUAUUUCCUAAUGCAAUUUCGUUGAAAAAAAAAAAGAAGAUGUAGUUGUAGACUAUCCAUAUGUAUCUUCAUUUAAAAUAUAAAACAUAUCUAAUUUAUCCCAAAAUCUUUCAAAUAUAACAUAUUUUAAUACAAAAUUAAAAAUAUUAAAGUAAAUUUUAAAUAAAUUAUCAUGUAUAUAUUUCUUUAAUUUCUUUUGCAAUAGUCAAAUCAAUUUAGCUUCAUAUCUUCGAUAAAUAGUUUAUUUUCUAAGAUAUAGUGAAAUUAUUUUCUAAAUUUAUGAAACCACAUAAAAUCCAAAUAAACAACCAAACUGCAUAUUUAAAUUAUAUAUUAAAAUAACUGAAAAAUUAUAGAAAACCGGCGCGUAGCGCCGGCAAACCCCUAGUUUUUCUAAAUAUUUACACGCCACUAGUAACAGCUUGUGGUCUGAAUAUUUCUCCAAAGGAGCAUCUUUACUGUAGUCUGAAAAUUUCUCUAAUAUUUCUGUGAUAUUGUAAUCGCUAUAUCCAGUUAGUAAAAAAAAAAGAGAAAAACUAUAAAAAGUUUUUAUGUAUAAAAUUAUUGACCCAAAUAUUAACAACAAUUUCUAUUAUUAUAUAUAUUUUAGAUGGAAAUCAGUUCUGCAGUUCUGCUUAAUAUGUUUAUUGACCAGCCUAUGAUAAGUACUCAAAAGUCUUUUACCAAAAAGAAAAAAGUACUCACAAGUCAUAAUUAACAAUUGAUUCGAUUGGAAAAGACAACAAUAUGUUUUUUUUUAAACGAAUGUUUGAAACAAUAUUGUAUUGCCAACGGGUGACUAAAGAAGCAUCGUUAUAUCAACUAUUUAACUAUCAUAUUAUGGAAAUCAGAUCUUAGCUAUCAAAACCUAAUAACAUGGGCCAUGGCAUUGGAAGCUUCUAAACUAAUCCAUUUUAAAACAAAAAUUUUACGUUUUAAUUAAUGUUGUAAACACUAAUAAGUUAAUAACUAUAUGCUCUCUCAAAAAAUGUAUGUUCUAUAACUUUCACACCUAUGAAAUUUUAAUUAUUAAUGCAUUUUAACUAACUAUUUCACACAUUAUUUAAUCAAUAAAAUUUUAAUAAGAUAAUUAUGUUUUUCGAAGUUCGCCAUUUACUAUUAAAUAAUGCAUUAAAAUAUUUAAAAAAAAGUUUUGUUGAAACAAUUUUUUUUCUUCUAAAAUAUAGAUUUUUCGAAACGGAGAAAGUAUUUUAAUUUACUGGCUAAAAGUAGUAUUUUCCAUCAAUAUAAAUUGACUACGACGCGUAAUAAAAGAUUUUCUUAGCAAAGAAUUUUCUAAGAAAACCGAUGAAAGUUUCUUGGAUAUUUCGUGAAUAAAGUCAAAAUAAAAUUAAAUAAAAAAAACUCGGUUUAAUUUUUAUUUUUUUCAAAACGCCUAUAAAAAGGGGGUACAGAGCCACCAGUCAAUCCAAUAGAAAAGUCUAGCUGGACAAGUGGGUCCCAUUUAUUACCACCCCCUCUGAAUCUUCUUCUCCUUCUACUUCUUCCUUUGUCCUAAAAAAAAAUCUUCUCUUUUUGUUCGAAUCAGGUUAAGUUCUGGAUCAUCAAUCAACACAGCCGUUUCUUUCUCCGGUAAUAAUUAGACUUUAUCUCUCUAAAUGGGUAACUGCUUCUCCGAAGAUGUCUCCUCGGGACCUGGUGCUACAGCCAGCGUUAGUGGAACUGCUUCCUCCUCCUCCGCUCUCGCCACUACAAACGACGCCGUUGAUUACUAUCUCAAGUCUCGUGGUUACAACGGUCUCUUCUCUCAGAUCGAG
rnacentral:lncRNA from 1 species